rnacentral:rRNA from 1 species
UGAAUACGAGAUGCUACGGCGUCGAAGCAGUCUAUGUCAUACUUCCAAGAAAAGCUUGCACUGUCAUAAACAAAUAAUGCCUGUACCAUAACCGACACAGGUGGGUAGGUAGAGUAUACUAAGGGGCGCGAGAUAACUCUCUCUAAGGAACUCGGCAAAAUGACUCCGUAACUUCGGGAGAAGGAGUGCCUUAUUUAUAAGGUUGCAAUAACAAGAUCCAAGCAACUGUUUACCAAAAACACAGGUCUCCGCUAAGUCGUAAGACGAUGUAUGGGGGCUGACGCCUGCCCAGUGCCAGAAGGUUAAAGAAGUUGGUUAGCAUCCGCGAAGCUGAUAACUGAAGCCCUGGUGAACGGCGGCCGUAACUAUAACGGUCCUAAGGUAGCGAAAUUCCUUGUCGGGUAAGUUCCGACCCGCACGAAAGGCGUAAUGAUUUGGAUACUGUCUCGGAGAGGGGCUCGGUGAAAUAGACUUGUCUGUGAAGAUGCGGACUACCUGCACCAGGACAGAAAGACCCUAUGAAGCUUUACUGUAACCUGAAAUUGAAAUUGGACUUUACUUGCGCAGUAUAGGUGGGAGGCGUUGAGAAUAUUCUUGCGGGAUUAUUGGAGCCAUCAGUGAGAUACCACUCUUGUAAUGUUAGAUUUCUAACUUUGUAUCAUUAUCUGGUCAAAGAACAGUUUCAGGCGGGCAGCUUGACUGGGGCGGUCGCCUCCUAAACGGUAACGGAGGCGCACAAAGGUUUCCUCUGAACGGGUAGAAAUCGUAUCUAGAGUGUAAAGGCAUAAGGAAGCUUGACUGUGAGACCUACAAGUCGAGCAGGGACGAAAGUCGGUCUUAGUGAUCUGACGGUGCUGAGUGGAAAGGCCGUCACUCAACGGAUAAAAGUUACUCUAGGAUAACAGGCUGAUCUCCCCCAAGAGUUCACAUCGACGGGGAGGUUUGGCACCUCGAUGUCGGCUCAUCGCAUCCUGGGGCGGUAGUACGUCCCAAGGGUUGGGCUGUUCGCCCAUGAAAGCGGUACGCGAGCUGGGUUCAGAACGUCGUGAGACAGUUCGGUCCAUAUCCGGUGUAGGCGUUAGAAUAUUGAGAGGAGCCUUCUUUAGUACGGGAGGACCGAGAAGGACAUACCUCUGGUGUACCAGUUAUCGUGCCAACGGUAAACGCUGGGUAGCUAUGUGUGGAGUGGAUAACCGCUGAAAGCAUCUAAGUGGGAAGCCCACCUCAAGAUAAGUAUUCUCA